AUUGAACGCUGGCGGCAGGCCUAACACAUGCAAGUCGAACGAGUGGCGGACGGGUGAGUAAUGUCUGGGAAACUGCCUGAUGGAGGGGGAUAACUACUGGAAACGGUAGAUAAUACCGCAUACCAUCGGAUGUGCCCAGAUGGGAUUAGCUAGUAGGUGGGGUAAAGGCUAACCUAGGCGACGAUCCCUCGCUGGUCUGAGAGGCUGACCAGCCACACUGGAACUGGGACACGGUCCAGACUCCGACGGGAGGCAGCAGUUGUGAAUAUUGCACAAUGGGCGCAAGCCUGAUGCAGCCAUGCCGCGUGUAUGAAGAAGGCCUUCGGGUUGUAAAGUACUUUCAGCGGGGAGGCGUUACCCGCAGAAGAAGCACCGGCUAACUCCGUGCCAGCAGCCGCGGUAAUAC
rnacentral:rRNA from 1 species